UUUCCGUAGGUGAACCUGCGGAAGGACAUUA
rnacentral:rRNA from 1 species